CUUUAGAUUUUGCUCUUCACUUGGGUUCUUCUUUGUCAUCAGAGAAGGCCCCCAUUUCCAGUUCUCGCUUCAUCGUUCUUCUGCUUUCUUUCCCCCCUCUUUAUAGCUUUUGAAAAUAGAAGUCGCUCCAGGUGGUGGAAAAAGGGAGACUGCCUCGACUGUAAGAUCUUGAAGAUGUGAGAUUAUUUUCAUUGAGAAGUUCCAUUGACAUCACAAAGUAAAUACCAAGAUGAAGCAUGUGUUGUUAGCUGCAGCUCUUAAACUCCAGAUUUUAUCCAAAAUCUUUUGAUUAGUGGGACCACCAACAUGAACUUAAACAAUCCUGACUGUUUUGGUCUUUCUAGCAAGCUAAAGAAUGUACUUGUACAACUUUGUUCCGUAAAUACAUCGACAUGUAUGAUGUACUUUAUGUUAAUAUUAAGCACAUUAUGUUAAUAUUUAGCUUCGUGAUACUGUUUUUUAUU